UACGGAGGGUGCGAGCGUUGUUCGGAAUCACUGGGCGUAAAGGGCGUGUAGGCGGUCCGCUAAGUCUGAUGUGAAAGCCCGGGGCUCACCCCCGGAAGGGCAUUGGAAACUGACGGACUCGAGUCCCGAAGAGGAGGGUGGAAUUCCUGGUGUAGCGGUGAAAUGCGUAGAUAUCUGGAGGAACACCGGUGGCGAAGGCGGCAUCCUGGACCGGUAUUGACGCUGAGGCGCGAAAGCUAGGGUAGCAAACGGG
rnacentral:rRNA from 1 species